rnacentral:rRNA from 1 species
AUGGACGACUCCAGCGACGGCGGAGCCACCGCCGGAGGCACUAAGAAGAAGCCUUCUGCGGCGGCCGCCAAGGGGAAGGCGACGGGAAAAGGGAAGGCCACCUCCAAGGCGGCGCCCAAGGCCAAGGAGAGCAGCCUCCUCAAGCANNAAUCGCCCGCAGAGUUCUUCGCGGAAAACAAGAACAUCGCUGGUUUUGACAAUCCUGGAAAAUCUUUGUACACCACAAUGCGGGAGUUAGUUGAGAAUGCUCUUGAUUCAGCCGAGUCCAUCUCCGAGCUCCCCGAUAUAGAAAUUACUAUAGAAGAGAUCACUAAGAGCAAAUUCAACACAAUGAUAGGACUAGUUGAUCGAGAACGCGUUGAUGAAGCACUCUAUGAUGAUUUUGAAUCAUCUAAGGCUCGUGAGAAACGCCUAGCUAAAGAAGCACGUUUCCAAGAAACACAAGCCAAAAAUGCUGCUCUAGGGAAGAAAGUUAAGGACACUCCAGCUGCUCGCGGAAAAGGUCGGGGCGAGGCUUCAUUUUUUAGAGUGACUUGCAAGGAUAAUGGCCGAGGUAUGCCGCAUGAAGAUAUCCCAAAUAUGUUUGGGAGAGUGCUAUCGGGAACAAAAUAUGGUUUGAGGCAGACGCGUGGAAAAUUUGGGCUUGGUGCUAAAAUGGCACUUAUUUGGUCAAAGAUGAGUACGGGCCUUCCUAUUGAUAUUAAGUCAUCGAUGAAAGGCCAAGAUUAUAUCACGUUCUGUCGACUUGACAUAGAUAUUCAUAAAAAUGUCCCUCACAUUCAUUUACAUGAGAAACGUGAGAACAAUGAUCACUGGCAUGGGGCAGAGAUUCAAGUUAUUAUUGAGGGAAAUUGGACAACUCAUCGUUCAAGGAUACUACAUUACAUGCGACAGAUGGCUGUCAUUACUCCAUAUGCUCAAUUCCUAUUUAGAUUUCUCUCAGAUGCAGCAGAAAAAAAUUUGACGAUAAAAUUUACGAGAAGGACAGAUGUUAUGCCUCCUGUCCCACUUUUGACAAAGCAUCAUCCAUCUGCUGUCGAUUUGCUGCUGAUAAAGCGCUUAAUUACAGACACUACAAAGCCAAAUCUUUUGCAGUUUCUGCAACAUGAAUUUGUGAAUAUAAGCAAAGCACAUGCUGACCGUUUAAUUGGGGAAAUGGGACCUGAUUUUAGUGCAAAAACGACAGUCAACAGCCUUACAUCACAACAGUUAGUACGAAUACAUCAGUUGUUUCGGCAGGCUAAGUUUGAUGAUCCCAGUGGGAAUUGUCUUAGUCCUGCAGGUGAAUACAAUUUACGUCUAGGUAUCAUAAAAGAGCUGCACCCUGAUUUGGUUGCAACACAUGCAAGCAGCCCUCAGGUUUUUGAAGGGCAUCCAUUUAUUGUUGAAGCCGGAGUGAGCAUUGGUGGAAAAGAUGUUAAACAAGGUCUAAAUAUUUUUAGGUUUGCAAACCGCAUACCACUUCUUUUUGAACAAGGUGCUGAUGUCAUCACAAGAACUGCCCUAAAAAGGAUCAAUUGGAGCAUCUACAAAAUUAAUCAGCAGCAGGACAAGAUUGGUGUCUUCGUGAGCAUUGUCAGUACAAAGAUACCUUUUAAAGGAACUGGAAAAGAGUAUAUUGGGGAUGAUAUAACCGAGAUAGCAGAUGCUGUUAAGUCAGCCCUUAAGCAGUGCUGUAUCCAACUGAAGUCAAAGAUAGUGAAGAAACUUCAGGCUCGUGAACAGCAGGACAGGAAAAGGAACCUGAACAAAUACAUUCCUGAUGUGGCGAGAACAAUUAUGGAGACUCUGGGAGAACUUGCAGACGAGUCUCCCCCCAAGAGGCCACGGUUUGACAAGGAAGACGAGGAACUCCUCGAGAAAAUAAAUUCGGAGGAAGUGACAGAAAUGACUUUUAGAGAUUGCUUAACGCAGCAUGUUGAACAGGUUGACUAUGAAAUGGCACUGGAGUAUGCCAUGCAGAGCGGCGUGAGCGAAGAGCCCCGCGAAGCAAUCUAUCUGAACUCACUCGAAGGAUCUUACAAGUUCGUUGACUUCCAGAGCCCUGCUUUCGUGUUUAGGUUCAUCCCGUGA